rnacentral:rRNA from 1 species
CAGUAGCCGCGGUAAUCCGUAGGUGGCAAGCGUUGUCCGGAAUUAUUGGGCGUAAAGCGCGCGCAGGCGGAUAGGUCAGUCUGUCUUAAAAGUUCGGGGCUUAACCCCGUGAUGGGAUGGAAACUGCCAAUCUAGAGUAUCGGAGAGGAAAGUGGAAUUCCUAGUGUAGCGGUGAAAUGCGUAGAUAUUAGGAAGAACACCAGUGGCGAAGGCGACUUUCUGGACGAAAACUGACGCUGAGGCGCGAAAGCCAGGGGAGCGAACGGGAUUAGAUACCCCAGUAGUCCCUGUCUCUUAUACA